rnacentral:rRNA from 1 species
AUUGAACGCUGGCGGCAUGCCUUACACAUGCAAGUCGAACGGUAACGGGUCCUUCGGGAUGCCGACGAGUGGCGAACGGGUGAGUAAUAUAUCGGAACGUGCCCAGUAGUGGGGGAUAACUGCUCGAAAGAGCAGCUAAUACCGCAUACGACCUGAGGGUGAAAGGGGGGGAUCGCAAGACCUCUCGCUAUUGGAGCGGCCGAUAUCAGAUUAGCUAGUUGGUGGGGUAAAGGCCUACCAAGGCAACGAUCUGUAGUUGGUCUGAGAGGACGACCAGCCACACUGGGACUGAGACACGGCCCAGACUCCUACGGGAGGCAGCAGUGGGGAAUUUUGGACAAUGGGCGCAAGCCUGAUCCAGCAAUGCCGCGUGCAGGAAAAAGGCCUUCGGGUUGUAAACUGCUUUUGUCAGGGAAGAAAUCUUCUGGGCUAAUACCCCGGGAGGAUGACGGUACCUGAAGAAUAAGCACCGGCUAACUACGUGCCAGCAGCCGCAGUAA